UACAGAGGGUACAAGCGUUGUUCGGAAUUACUGGGCGUAAAGCGUGCGUAGUCGGUAUUGAGAGUCGCGGGUGAAAUCCCAGGGCUUAACCCUGGAACUGCCUGCGAGACCUCAGUACUAGAGUGUGAGAGGGGAUAGUGGAAUACCAAGUGUAGCGGUGAAAUGCGUAGAGAUUUGGUGGAACACCGGUGGCGAAGGCGGCUAUCUGGCUCACAACUGACGAUCAGGCACGAAAGCGUGGGGAGCAAACAGG
rnacentral:rRNA from 1 species